rnacentral:rRNA from 1 species
AUUGAACGCUGGCGGAAUGCUUUACACAUGCAAGUCGAACGGUAGAGGGGGCAACCCCUCGAGAGUGGCGAACGGGUGAGUAAUAUAUCGGAACGUGCCCAGUCGUGGGGGAUAACGUAGCGAAAGUUACGCUAAUACCGCAUACGAUCUACGGAUGAAAGCGGGGGAUCGCAAGACCUCGCGCGAUUGGAGCGGCCGAUAUCAGAUUAGGUAGUUGGUGGGGGUAAAGGCUCACCAAGCCAACGAUCUGUAGCUGGUCUGAGAGGACGACCAGCCACACUGGAACUGAGACACGGUCCAGACUCCUACGGGAGGCAGCAGUGGGGAAUUUUGGACAAUGGACGCAAGUCUGAUCCAGCCAUUCCGCGUGCAGGAUGAAGGCCCUCGGGUGUAAACUGCUUUUGUACGGAACGAAAAGGUCUCUCUUAAUACGAUGAGCUCAUGACGGUACCGUAAGAAUAAGCACCGGCUAACUACGUGCCAGCA